rnacentral:rRNA from 1 species
UACGUAGGGGCCUAGCGUUGUCCGGAUUUAUUGGGCGUAAAGAGCUCGUAGGCGGUUCGGCAAGUCGGAUGUGAAAUCUCCACGCUCAACGUGGAGGGGCCAUUCGAAACUGCUGUGACUUGAGUCCGGUAGGGGGGUGUGGAAUUCCUGGUGUAGCGGUGAAAUGCGCAGAUAUCAGGAGGAACACCUAUGGCGAAGGCAGCUCGCUGGGACGGUACUGACGCUGAGGUGCGAAAGCGUGGGGAGCAAACAGG